rnacentral:lncRNA from 1 species
ACGCCCCGCGCCCCGGGCCGUGCAGCCAGCCCUUACCUUGCAGCGCCCGGCUGUCUCCCGAUCGCUAAAGCUACUUAUCCCGGGAAAGCUCGCGCGGGACCCGGGAACGAACCCACAGACAAAAAGUGAAACUUCGGCAGGGCUGGAGCGGCUGCUGGUUGGUGCCUUUCCCCCUCCUUCCUCCCCACCGUCCCCACCCCCUCCCCUUGGUCUCCCGUGCGGUGCCCUGAGCGCUGGAGGCUGACGUCAGGGGCCUGAAUUCCUGACUUUGCCUGCACGCAUUUGUCCAUGUAAGGUAUGGGAAGGCGUGUGCCCGCGAAGCCGCCGCGCAGAGCUCGCCUGGCGGGGGAGGGGAAACCCGCAGCCGGCAGUGGCUUUGCCAAAAGGUGGGCGCACUGAGGGCAUUGCAUUUCCUGGGAGGAAGAGGAGGAGACGCGGGAAUGCAGGGAGCUUGCAAAGGAGGAAGAGAAAGAGGGAGAUGUGGAGACUUUGCCCCUGCUAGAGGAAGAGGAAGGAGACGUAGGAGGAAGCGGCCGCGUCAGGGGGCUCCUGGAAAAUGGAAAAGCCUGCGUCUACUAUUAAGGCGUCAAAUUAGGGCACUGAGCUUGAGUGGAAGAGAUCCAGCCAUGAAAUCCCCUUCCAAGAUUUUCCUCGUGAGCCCCGCCCUGGAUUCCCAGCAAGACUCAAAACUUACAAGGUGUCAGAGCUGGCAAAGACCAACUUCCAACCCGUCCGCUUGGCACGUGAGGAAACUGAAGCUCUCGGAAGAGAAAUGACUUGUACAGGGUCGUCACUCAGCAGAUCGAGGAGCGGGCCCAGGCGCUCUGCCUCCCACUUGGGUUCCCGCCUCCAGGAAGGGCCCUGGCUCCCUUUUAGCCCUGAGCCUUGAAGCAGGUUAGAUGCCCGCGAGCUGUGCGGACCACCCAGUGAUUUCUACUGCUCUUGGCCCAGAGCCAGUUCCUGGAAGGUCCUGGUUGACAGCGAGCCCUGAAUAUCAAUGACAAUCAGUUGCUUCAGGGCAACUUCCUCUGUCCUGUGCUCAAAUAAAUGAAUCCCUGGAGUUUAACGUUUACUUCUGAGCCCCGCCCAGAAAGCUUGCUCUGUGCUUAUAGCUUCAAAAAAGUCUGCGAACGAGAUGAACUGGUUUGAAUACAGACAAGCCUGUCAUUGGAAGUUUUGAGUUGGAUUUUUCUUUCCCCUCUGACAUCUGUAAGGGUGAACGACGAUGAGAACCACCACUUAACUGUGUUAGGGGAUUAUGACGCGCAGCAGCCAUGGCCAGGAAAGCAUUCCAUACCCUGAGACUUCCUUUCCUUGCACUUCUCUCCUAUUAAUAUCUAAAGUAAUCCCUCACGUUAGCACAUAAUGAAAGCAGUCUCUCACCCGGCUAUUGCAUCUUCAGGUGAGUUAGAUAGGACAGAGCGUAGUCCCCCCUUUACACCUCAGACAAAAACUUAAGAAACGUUACUCGCCCAACACAAAACAACUGACUGACCAAGCACCUGUCUUCCCCUCCUCCCAUCCAGGUCUCCUGACUAAUCCCUUCAUCUUUCCAUACCUGGCCCUGACCUCUAGCAGGACCUAAUUCCAUUCAUAACUGUUGAGAGUACACCAUGAGCUACUGAUUCAUAAAAACUCCAAAAAGUGGUUCUUCUGAGGAUGGACUUUAGUGGGAUUCUUUUGACCAGGAAUUAAGGAAAUAAUGUAAAAACACAUGUUAUUGGAUUUAUUAAGCACCUUCCUUGUGCUUAAUAAGUGUUUGAAUUCAGACAUUUCAGGGGUAAGACUACUUAACCUCUGUGUUCCUCUCAACUAUCUAAUGUACACAUACAAAAAUAUGAACAUGGCUGGGCGCGGUGGCUUACACCUGUAAUUCCAGCACUUUGGGACGCCGAGGCGGGCAAAUCACCUGAGGUCAGGAGCUCGAGCCAGCCUGGCCAACAUGGCAAAACCCCAUCUCUACCAAAAAUACAAAAAACUAGCUGGGCGUGGCGGCGAGCGCCUGUAAUCCCAGGUAUUCCGGAAGCUGAGGCAGGAGAAUUGCCUGAACCCGGGAGGCAAAGGUUUUAGUGAGCCGAGAUUGCGCCACUGCACUCCAGCCUGGGGGACAGAGCAAGACUGUUGUCAAAAAAAAAAAAUAUAUAUAUAUACAAACACAUAUAUAUACACAUAUAUAUACAUAUAUACACAUAUAUAUACAUAUAUAUACACAUAUAUAUACAUAUAUAUAUACACACACACAUAUAUAUAUACACACAUACAUAUAUAUAUAUGAAGGCAGUAACAGAGAGAUAAGGUCGAGAAUAACCACCCAUUCCACAGACUAAUAAAGAAUUUAUCUCUUUGCAACUAACAUAGUUUGAAAUGGGAGAUACGGGCUCUUGGAGAGAGUUUUUUCUGGGGUUCUGAAAAGGUCAGAUCCUAUCAAAACACAAUCCACUCACUCAAACAUUUCAGCGUACUCACAUUCUGAGUACUACUGUUUAGUAUGAAAAGAAUUCCAGUGUUACAUGAAGUAAAAAUGGAUUAUCUCAAUCCUCAUGGAAUAUAACGGGACUUGACCAGCAUUUCCUUUUUUUUUUUCCUUCAGUAACUCACUUAUAAGGAAUAAUAGGGUCCUAAUGAGGAUUAAGAUUUAAUAAGGUGUAAUUAGAGUUGUUCAUUUCUUCCAUCAUAUACAUUAUAAGAGUACUGUGCCGGAUCCAGAAAUGCUACUAAUUAUGUUGAAACUGUUGUAUGGGUGUGUUGGGGAAGUCACUGUGUUUCUCCUCCUGAAAUGUUUAUGAAUUGCUCAGGUGAGCAUGGUGAGCAUGGUGUUAGCAUGAACAUCAUAUAAAGUUAACUACAAAAGA